rnacentral:rRNA from 1 species
UCUUACGGUACCGUCACCAGGACACACGUGUCCCUUAUUCUUCCCGUAUAAAAAGCAGUUUACAACCCAUAGGGCCGUCUUCCUGCACGCGGCAUGGCUGGAUCAGGCUUGCGCCCAUUGUCCAAUAUUCCUC